GAUGAACGCUGGCGGCGUGCCUAAUACAUGCAAGUCGAGCGAACGGACGAGAAGCUUGCUUCUCUGAUGUUAGCGGCGGACGGGUGAGUAACACGUGGAUAACCUACCUAUAAGACUGGGAUAACUUCGGGAAACCGGCGCUUAUACCGGAUAAUCUUUUGAACCGCAUGGUUCAAAAGUGAAAGACGGCCUUGCUGUCACUUAUAGAUGGAUCCGCGCUGCAUUAGCUAGUUGGUAAGGUAACGGCUUACCAAGGCUACGAUGCAUAGCCGAGCUGAGAGGGUGAUCGGCCACACUGGAACUGAGACACGGUCCAGACUCCUACGGGAGGCAGCAGUAGGGAAUCUUCCGCAAUGGGCGAAAGCCUGACGGAGCAACGCCGCGUGAGUGAUGAAGGUCUUCGGAUCGUAAAACUCUGUUAUUAGGGAAGAACAUAUGUGUAAGUAACUGUGCACAUCUUGACGGUACCUAAUCAGAAAGCCACGGCUAACUACGUG
rnacentral:rRNA from 1 species